rnacentral:tRNA from 1 species
GCCUUCGUGGUUUAGUGGUCAGCACGCUCGACGUGUAACCGAGAGGUUCGUGGCUCGAGUCCCGGCGAGGGUA